UUGCUGGAGCCGGACUAGAAUAAAGCCUCUAAUUACUUCUUCUCAACACUUAUCCGACGUCGCCGCCCACAAUUACUCUAAAGUGCUAAAGACUAUUUGAAUGUGAAGAAGGCAACUUAGUUCCUGUCUCCCACAAGCUCACAGUCUCGUAUCGGAGUCCUAGUUUGAAGUUUUAUUUGAAUAUUCCAUGCCAAGUCUCUUGGAGUCUUCAAGACAGUGAAUCUUGGAUACAUGGAGCUGAAGUGAUUUGCUGAAGGCGGCAGAGUUGGGAA